rnacentral:rRNA from 1 species
GGCUUGCGGCAGCUACCAUGCAAGUCGAGCGGUAACAGAUCCAGCUUGCUGGAUGCUGACGAGCGGCGGACGGGUGAGUAAUGCAUAGGAAUCUGCCCGAUAGUGGGGGAUAACCUGGGGAAACCCAGGCUAAUACCGCAUACGUCCUACGGGAGAAAGGGGGCUUCGGCUCCCGCUAUCGGAUGAGCCUAUGUCGGAUUAGCUAGUUGGUGAGGUAACGGCUCACCAAGGCCACGAUCCGUAGCUGGUCUGAGAGGAUGAUCAGCCACAUCGGGACUGAGACACGGCCCGAACUCCUACGGGAGGCAGCAGUGGGGAAUAUUGGACAAUGGGGGGAACCCUGAUCCAGCCAUGCCGCGUGUGUGAAGAAGGCCCUCGGGUUGUAAAGCACUUUCAGCGAGGAAGAACGCCUAGCGGUUAAUACCCGCUAGGAAAGACAUCACUCGCAGAAGAAGCACCGGCUAACUCCGUGCCAGCAGCCGCGGUAAUACGGAGGGUGCAAGCGUUAAUCGGAAUUACUGGGCGUAAAGCGCGCGUAGGUGGCUUGAUAAGCCGGUUGUGAAAGCCCCGGGCUCAACCUGGGAACGGCAUCCGGAACUGUCAAGCUAGAGUGCAGGAGAGGAAGGUAGAAUUCCCGGUGUAGCGGUGAAAUGCGUAGAGAUCGGGAGGAAUACCAGUGGCGAAGGCGGCCUUCUGGACUGACACUGACACUGAGGUGCGAAAGCGUGGGUAGCAAACAGGAUUAGUCCCC